GUGCGCAGCCGCUGGCGGCAGCAUGUGGUCCCUCUGGCUGGUGGCAGCGCUGGCGCUUGCGCCGUGGCCGGCCGGGCCGCCGGCGCUGGUGUGCAGCGCCCCGGAGGCGCGGCCGCAGCCGGAGCCCGAAGCCUGGCCCGGCCCCAUAGCCUCGCCCGGUCCUCAGCCUGACCCCAAACUCGGCCCCGCUCUCCAACUAAUCUGGAAUUUGUGCAAAGUUCACAAGAAGUGCAGCAGGUGGGUGGAGUACCAAAAAUGCAGAGCGUUGGAAAAGGCGGGCAACUUCUUCCGGAGACUGUUCAGAAGGCGCCGGAGGCGUCGCAGGAGGUGUGUCAAAUGAACACUUAUCGACACUGAUGUGUGACACUGCAUCACGGACCCAAUGGGUUUUCAAACAGACUCCUACUUGCGACGUAUUUGACACUCCAGUUUGGACACCUGGACCAAAGUAUGCAUUGAGAAGCUGGCCUGUGUUGGAAUCUGCCAAACGAGUGAACAAUUCGGCACGAUGAAAUAUAUUAUCCCUGACAAGA